ensembl:lncRNA
AGGAAAUGUAGAAAGGGUGCAGUUUGUGAGUAGAUUUACUUCAUUUUAGAUUUUUUUUUUUUUGCAUUUAAAUUUACUUUUCAAAUGUAAUAUUAUUAAAGUUGUAAUUAAUCUGGUGUGAGUGUCACAAAGACUGUCAACAUACAAUUUAGCACUGAGGCACGGUAGGGUAAUACCUGGGACAGGUGGCAUUGUUCCCGGACAUUAAUGACAAACGCUGCUGCACGUCUGGAGAUGGCGUUGCGGUAAAAAGAACAUCUCAGCUGAGGAGCCGCUGGUCUCAGCAACCAACAGGCCCCAGGUCAGUCCUUUGACCAUCCCUAGUGCCCGUCUGUAGCCUCCACCAGCGAACUCCAGAACAAUGGUUCCUACAGGUAUUUAUAGCAAUGCUUAAAGGUGUGAAAGUCAGUGUCCACACCUCUGGGAGUGGUCUUCUGAUAAAGAUAAAAAGAUAAAGACAAAACUAUGAAGCAUAUGAGCAUUUACAACAAUCUUCACAAGAGGCUGCAGAAUGUGAAGUCCCCACAAAAGAGGCAGGGGCCCACUCCAGAGAGGGGCCAUUCAAAGAAAAGGAGUCUCAUUGACUUCUCAUCGAGUGACAGAGAAGAAAAUGAUGCAGACCCAAGUGGUGCAUCAACAAUUAUUUUGCAUCAAACAUCUGGGAGCAGUUCUGAUGAUGGCAACAGGUCACGUAAGUUGGAAUUGUGUAGCAUGAAGACUAAGAAUUGUCUAUCAGAAUACAG